rnacentral:rRNA from 1 species
UUUUAAAGAGAGUUUGAUCCUGGCUCAGGACGAACGCUGGCGGCGUGCCAAUACAUGCAAGUCGAACGAACGGAGGAAGA